UACGUAGGGGGCAAGCGUUGUCCGGAUUUAUUGGGCGUAAAGAGCGUGUAGGCGGCUAGGUAGGUCCGUUGUGAAAACUCGAGGCUCAACCUCGAGACGCCGAUGGAAACCAUCUGGCUAGAGUCCGGAAGAGGAGAGUGGAAUUCCUGGUGUAGCGGUGAAAUGCGCAGAUAUCGUAAGGAAGGCCGGUGGCGAAAGCGAGCCUCUGGACAGUUACUGACGCUGAUGCACGAAGGCCAGGGGAGCAAACGGG
rnacentral:rRNA from 1 species